CCUACGGGAGGCAGCAGUGAGGAAUAUUGGUCAAUGGACGCGAGCCUGAACCAGCCAAGUAGCGUGAAGGAUGACUGUCCUAUGGGUUGUAAACUUCUUUUAUAUGGGAAUAAAACGUUCCACGCGUGGGGUUUUGUGUGUACCCUAUGAAUAAGGAUCGGCUAACUCCGUGCCAGCAGCCGCGGUAAUACGGAGGAUCCGAGCGUUCUCCGGAUUUAUUGGGGUUAAAGGGAGCGUAGGUGGAUUGUUAAGUCAGUCGUGAAAGUUGGCGGCUCAACCGUAAACGUGCAGUUGAAACUGGCAGUCGUGAGUACAGGAGAGGUGGGCGGAAUGCGUGGUGUAGCGGUGAAAUGCAUAGAUAUCACGAAGAACUCCGAUUGCGAAGGCAGUUUACUGG
rnacentral:rRNA from 1 species